UGGAAAACAGAUUUAAACCACGUUUGAAACAUUACUUCCUGUUUGCUAGUGCUGUGAGAAAACGUUGUUAUCGAAGGAUGCUGUCAGGAUGCUAAAACAAACUCUGGAGCUGCUUUUUGUCGUUAAUGAAGAGGUCAGGAUGCUAAAACAAGCCCUGGAGCUGCUUUUUUGUCGAACACGAGUGAAACUUGGACGCUGUACACACCUGCGGCGUAAAGGUUUACUCAUUCAGCUAGUGCAGCCUGGGCAGAAACACCAGCUCUCGCCUUACAAACCAAACAGGUGUCUCCACUUAGUCCAUGAUCAGAGAGUCUUUGUACAAUGAAGUUCUUUGAAACCAGGACUGAGGCCUCCAGGAUUCAAACUUCAGCCAUUAAAAUCAGAGAGAAGAGACAGAUGAAGACAUUUCCAGAAGGUCAGUGUUAGUUCAUUCUUUUCAGUCUUGACUUGUCGCAAAACUUUUGCACAGCACUGUGUGUGUGUAUAUAUAUAAUUAUUAAGCUAAUUUAGAAUCUUAAAAUGUUUUUUUUAACUAACUAUCAAAUCCAUAAAAAGUUAACUACAAAACCUUAAGCAACAAGUCUAAAAACAAGUGCAAAGCCUUUAAGAUAUGAAACCUUUACAAAAUAUAUUUAAAACGUAAGUAUGAAACUUUAUUCCAGACAACAUUUAACAAAUCACAGCAAAAUAUAAUGACAGACAUUUGACCACAAAGAAACACUUGUUAGAAAUGGUUAGGGUUAAUGUAGUUAUGAGCACAUUUUCCGAAGAUGAACAUGUCUACUAAGCAUCUUUGUGAUCAUUUAACUGCUUGUGAUACAACUAUUUUAUUAAUAAUUGUAUUAUAAGCAGUUGAAUGUUCUCACAGGUGUUAAAUAAAGACAUAUUAGUCUUUGGAAAAUGUGCCCAUGACUACAUUACAAAUGGCAGAGAAAAACAAAGUGUUUUCUCUUGAACAACAGGAAACCAACACUGUAAACAGCAGUUAGCUGGUGGAGGUUUUUUAAUGUGAUUAACAGCUUCGUAACACUGUUUUCUUUCAUCCAUUUCAGGUCUCAGCUGCUGUCGUCUUCUCCUCCUGCAGAAACAAGAACAUGUGUUAAUCACAGAAACCUAUUUUUCCUUUCCUAAACUGUCCUUAUUCAUUGUUGAUACCUAAUUACAGUGAUUUAAACUUUUUACAACUCAGUAUCAUAUUUAGAUGUUUUUCUAAUUAUUACAGUCACAGUAAUAACUAGAAAUAUUUUUAUAUAGCCCUUCAGAACUAAGAACCUACUGUAAUUAUUACAUAGUUAUCUCUCAAAUUGAACCAUGUAAUAAAUACAGGAAAACUUAAAAAGGUAAAUGAAAACUGAAAUGGCUUUACUAAGGCUAAGUUAAUAAAUUAUUAUUAUUUUACUAAAAUUAUGUAUUUUAAUAAUUAUUUAGCUAGGUUUAUAAGUUAUUACUAAAUUCUUACUAAGAUUAUUUGUACUUAAUAAAUUAUUUUUCAUGACAUAUGCUAUGGCAUUUUUUGAAACCUCAGUAUACUUUGACAUUUUUACUUCUAUUACUAUUACUUCUGCAUUGCUUUUAUAGUACAGAUUGCUUUUACUGUUACCUCUGAUAUUAGAUUACUUUUACCAGUACAUAUUACUUUUCUUAUUACAUAUUACUUUUAAUUUUAUAGAUAACUUUUACUGUUGCAAACUACUGCAUCUUACUUCUGAUAUUGCUAAUUACUUUUACAUUACUUCUAUUAAUACAGAUUAUUUAUAUUGCAGAUUACUUCUAUUAUUACACUUUUCUGAUAUACUGAACAUAAACAAUUUAAUGUCAGUGCUCUGUGUUGGACAUUAUGUGUGUAUUA